AGAGUCUGAUUGGCGGCUCAGAUUGAACGCUGGCGGAUGCUUUUUACACAUGCAAGUCGAACGGCAGCACGGACUUCGGUCUGGUGGCGAGUGGCGAACGGGUGAGUAAUGUAUCGGAACGUGCCUAGUAGCGGGGGAUAACUACGCGAAAGCGCAGCCAAUACCGUACGCCCUUCGGAGCGGGGACCUUCGGGCCUCGCACUAUUAGAGCGGCCGAUAUCGGAUUAGCUAGUUGGUGGGGUAACGGCUCACUCAAGGCGACGAUCCGUAGCUGGUUUGAGGACGACCAGCCACACUGGGACUGAGAUACGGCCCAGACUCCUACGGGAGGCAGCAGCGGGGAAUCUUGGACAAUGGGGAAACCCUGAUCCAGCCAUCCCGCGUGCAUGAAGGCCUUCGGGUUGUAAAGCACUUUUUGGCAGGAAGAAACGGCACGGGAUAAUACCCCGUGCAACUGACGGUACCUGCAGAAUAAGAAUCGGCUAACCACGCCAGCAGCCGCGGUAAUACGUAGGGUGCAAGCGUUAAUCGGAAUUACUGGGCGUAAAGCGUGCGCAGGCGGUUCGGAAAGAAAGAUGUGAAAUCCCAGAGCUUAACUUUGGAACUGCAUUUUUAACUACCGAGCUAGAGUGUGUCAGGAGGGAGGUGGAAUUCCGCGUGUAGCAGUGAAAUGCGUAGAUAUGCGGAGGAACACCGAUGGCGAAGGCAGCCUCCUGGGAUAACACUGACGCUCAUGCACGAAAGCGUGGGGAGCAAACAGGAUUAGAUAAUUCUGGUAGUCCACGCCCUAAACGAUGUCAACUAGCUGUUGGGGCCUUCGGGCCUUGAGAAGCAGCUAACGCAGUGAAGUUGACCGCCUGGGGAGUACGGUCGCAAGAUUAAAACUCAAAGGAAUUGACGGGGACCCGCACAAGCGUGGAUGAUGUGAUUAAUUCGAUGCAACGCGAAAACCUUACCUACCCUUUGACAUGUCUGAAUCCCGAAGAGAUUUGGGAGUGCUCGCAAGAGAACCGGAACACAGGUGCUGCAUGGCUGUCGUCAGCUCGUGUCGUGAGAUGUUGGGUUAAGUCCCGCAACGAGCGCAACCCUUUGUCAUUAGUUGCUACUAAAGGCACUCUAUCGAGACUGCCGGUGACAAACCGGAUGAAGGUGGGGAUGACGUCAAGUCCUCAUGGCCCUUAUGGGUAGGGCUUCACACGUCAUACAAUGGUCGGGACAGAGGGUCGCCAACCCGCGAGGGGGAGCCAAUCCCAGAAACCCGAUCGUAGUCCGGAUCGCAGUCUGCAACUCGACUGCGUGAAGUCGGAAUCGCUAGUAAUCGCGGAUCAGCAUGUCGCGGUGAAUACGUUCUGGUCUUGUACACACCGCUCCGUCACACACCAUGGGAGUGGGUUUUACCAGAAGUAUAGCCUAACCGUAAGGAGGACGAUUACCACGGUAGGAUUCAUGACUGGGGUGAAGUCGUAACAAGGU
rnacentral:rRNA from 1 species